rnacentral:misc_RNA from 1 species
AGCGCACUGUUCCUCCAUCUGGACAGAGUCUGCCUAUUUAUGAUCCACCAUUGUUGAGGUAUUGGAGUUUUGGGAUGUUGUUCAAGGGUCAUAUUCCUUCAUCUAGACAAACUUCACCUAUUUAUAAUCCAUCAUCACUUAGCCUUUUUGGGAUGUUAAUAAAAGGAUCAUGUUCCUCUAUUUGGACACGCUGCACCUAUUCACAAUCCACUA